CCUCCAUGGUGGCCUCGUCCCCUCCCCGGCCACCACCCCGCUAUUUAUGCGCUCUGUGGCCCCAACCCUCCCUCUCCGCGCCUCCGGCCAGGUAUUGCACAAGGCUUGGCCCCCCCCCCCCCCCCGCGGUGUCCCCCCCCCACGCGGUGCCAGGCGUGUCCCCACGGUGCCAGGCGUGUCCCCAUGCCAGGUGUGUCCCCCAGCCCCGUGCCGGGUGCGUCCCCAAGCGGCGCAUCCCCGAGCAGCGCGCCCACGAGCUGCAGGCCAUGCGUGGCCCCGAGCGGUGUCCCCAAACGGUGUCCCCAAGUAGUGUCCCCAAGCAGGGUGUCCCCAAGCAGGGUGUCCCCAAGUAGUGUCCCCGAGCAGUGUCCCCAAGCAGGGUGUCCCCAAGUAGUGUCCCCGAGCAGUGUGCCAUGCGUGACCCCAAGUAGUGUGUCCAUGGGCACCGUGUCCCCAAGCAGCGUGUCCCCAAGGAGUGUGCCAUGCGUGACCCCAAGCAGCGUGUCCAUGGGCACCGUGUCCCCAAGCAGCUCCAUGGGGGACACUCAACAGGGGGGCAUUUUAUGGGGGGUGUUCAAGGGGGCGCCCAAUUGGGGACAUUUUAUGGGGGAUGCUCCAUGGGGGACAUCCAUUUGGGGACACUCAAUUGGGGGACACUUUAUGGGGGACAUUUUAUGGGGGAUGAUUAAUUGGGGACACUCAUUUGGGGACACUUAAUUGGGGACAUUUUACGAGGGGUGUUCAAGGGGGCACCCAAUUGGGGACAUUUUAUGGGGGGUGUUUAAUUGGGGACACUCAUUUGGGGACACUCAAUUGGGGGACACUUUAUGGGGGGUGUUCAAGGGGGGUACCCAAUUGGGGACAUUUUAGGGGGGACAUUUUAUGGGGGAUGCUUGAUUGGGGACACUCAAUGGGGGACAUUUUUGGGGGGAAGCUCAAUGGGGGGUGCCCAGUUGAGGACAUUUUAUGGGGGACAUUUUUUGGGGGAUGCUCCAUGGGGGACACCCAAUUGGGGACACUCAACGGGGGACACUUUACAAAAAUAAAACAUCCUGGCCCCCCA
rnacentral:lncRNA from 1 species